AAGAAAUGUGACUGCAGUGGAAAUUCAGAUCCCAACCUGAUCUUUGAAGAUUGUGAUGAAGUCACUGGCCAGUGUAGGAAUUGCUUACGCAACACCACCGGAUUCAAGUGUGAACGUUGCGCUCCUGGCUACUAUGGGGACGCCAGGAUAGCCAAGAACUGUGCAGUGUGCAACUGCGGGGGAGGCCCAUGUGACAGUGUAACCGGAGAAUGCUUGGAAGAAGGUUUUGAACCCCCUACAGGCAUGGACUGCCCAACCAUAAGUAAAAAUAACAGUACAUGAUUGACUAACCCCACUUUCUCUAAUGUGCUGCAGGUGUGGGAUUAAGAAAAGCUAUGCAAUAUCACUCUCUAGAAACUGCUGAGUCCCACCCCUGGACUUAACCCUUUCUGCACCUCAGCAAAUGGAGCCUGCACCAAGUACUUGGUGGUCCACUUGAUUCCCUAGGGCAAAUGGGUGGUUUACAUUUGCAUAGCUCUA
rnacentral:lncRNA from 1 species